AUAUUUUCUGCAUUUUUUAACAGGGGUUACAUCUGCCAAGUUCAGGCAGAGCAGCACUGGAGUUUUGACAGAACUUAAGGCUAUUUGCAGCCAGAUUUCUCCAGCAAGGGCAGCAUGAGCAGAGCUGGCAGCUGCAAAAUCCUGCUUUCGACCCAAGGCCAGCAAGCAGGCUGUCUGCAAUGGGCAGUGUCCAUGGAAGCAGGUAUUCCAGGCCCUCAGACUUCAGCUGCAACCCUCUGA
rnacentral:lncRNA from 1 species